GGGGAAUAUUGCACAAUGGGCGCAAGCCUGAUGCAGCGACGCCGCGUGGGGGAUGACGGCCUUCGGGUUGUAAACCCCUUUCAGUAUCGACGAAGCCGUGAGGUGACGGUAGGUACAGAAGAAGCACCGGCCAACUACGUGCCAGCAGCCGCGGUAAUACGUAGGGUGCGAGCGUUGUCCGGAAUUACUGGGCGUAAAGAGCUCGUAGGUGGUUUGUCGCGUUGUCCGUGAAAACUCACAGCUUAACUGUGGGCGUGCGGGCGAUACGGGCAGACUGGAGUACUGCAGGGGAGACUGGAAUUCCUGGUGUAGCGGUGGAAUGCGCAGAUAUCAGGAGGAACACCGGUGGCGAAGGCGGGUCUCUGGGCAGUAACUGACGCUGAGGAGCGAAAGCGUGGGGAGCGAAC
rnacentral:rRNA from 1 species